rnacentral:rRNA from 1 species
UACGAAGGGGACUAGCGUUGUUCGGAAUUACUGGGCGUAAAGCGUGCGCAGGCGGUUCGUUGUGUCGGCGGUGAAAGCCCCGGGCUCAACCUGGGAAUGGCCGUUGAAACUGGCGAACUGGAGUGUGGCAGAGGGGGGUGGAAUUCCGCGUGUAGCAGUGAAAUGCGUAGAGAUGCGGAGGAACACCGAUGGCGAAGGCAGCCCCCUGGGCUGACACUGACGCUCAGGCACGAAAGCGUGGGGAGCAAACAGG